rnacentral:piRNA from 1 species
UUUUUUAAGUUAUGGGAAAUA